AUAUUGAAUCCUCAUUUCAAAGACUUAAACAAUGGCUGCUCCAUCAAUGUUCAUGCCAAAUAUAGAUCAUUUAAGAAGCCAAUGCAUUCUUUAACAAGCUAUAAAUCUCAUCAUAAUCUCAUCAUAAUGUACCAACAAGCUAUAAAUCAACAUUCAGACUGCAUAAUUUCAUGUCGUUUGGAUUAACUUACAGCAACUAUCUCUGAUUUUGAGUUAACCCACUUGUUUGGAUCACCUUUAAAUUUGUGUGUCGUUUGAAAUAACUUCCAGCAGGUUGGACUUAUAUCCGAGGCUUUUUUCUACAAAGAAAAUAGAUAAAUCAUUGUUUC
rnacentral:lncRNA from 1 species